UACAGAGGGGGCAAGCGUUGUUCGGAAUUACUGGGCGUAAAGGGCGCGUAGGCGGCCCGCUAAGUCGAACGUGAAAUCCCCGGGCUUAACCCGGGAACUGCGUCCGAUACUGGCAGGCUUGAAUCCGGGAGAGGGAUGUGGAAUUCCAGGUGUAGCGGUGAAAUGCGCAGAUAUCAGGAGGAACACCGAUGGCGAAGGCAGGUCUCUGGGCAUUAACUGACGCUGAGGAGCGAAAGCAUGGGGAGCGAACAGG
rnacentral:rRNA from 1 species